AGUGAACGCUGGCGGCGUGCCUAAUACAUGCAAGUCGAACGGAGUGGCGCACGGGUGAGUAAUGUAUAGCUAAUCUGCCCUACACUAGAGGACAACAUUUGGAAACGGCUGCUAAUACUCUAUAGUGUAGGAUGAGGCUAUAUUGUAUCAGCUAGUUGGUUAGGUAAUGGCUCACCAAGGCUAUGACGCAUAACUGGUCUGAGAGGAUGAUAAGUGACACUGGAAAUGAGACACGGUCCAGAAUCCUACGGGAGGAAGCAGUAGGGAAUAUUGCUCAAUGGGGGAAACCCGGAAGCAGCAACGAAGCGUGGAGGAUGACACUUGUCGGAGCGUAAACUCAUUUUGUUAGGGAAGCGGUACCUAACGAAGAAGAACCGGCUAACUCCGUGCCAGCCGCGGCGGUAAUAC
rnacentral:rRNA from 1 species